UUUGCAUAACAUUAUCAAAGUAACAUUUAUGUUUUCUAUUUUAGUGACAAUGAAAGUAAUAUGGACUUCAAAGUCAUAGCCGAAGAUUUUCCCCUUCCCGUCAUCCACGAAAAUGUACAUGCAGUCUUCCGAGUUACUCGUCAGCCCUGAUGAUCCAUCGAAUAUACAGGAAUGUAUGAUAGAUGUAGAAUCACCAGGGUCGAUUUAGAAGUAAUUGAAGGCUGGAGGAAACAUGCAAUGUGUCGAACGCCACCAAAAACAAGAAAAAAAUGAAAAAAAUCAAAUAGAACUUUUAGCUCUUAGCUUUUUAACUUUUGAAAUGUAUAAAAUAAUAAAUAAUUAUGUGUAUCUAAAAACUGUAUAA